GUAAGCUACUAAGGGCGCACGGGGGAUGCCUUGGCGUCAAAUGCCGAAGAAGGACGUGGUACACUGCGAAAAGUCUCGGGGAACUGUGUACAAGUGUUAUAUCCGAGAAUGUCCGAAUGGGGAAACCCGCUGGUGGUCAAACACCAGCACUACUAUCUGAACACAUAGGGUAGUAGGGGGAACGAGGAGAACUGAAACAUCUAAGUACCCUCAGGAAAAGAAAUUAUUCCCUGAGUAGUGGCGAGCGAAAAGGGAAAAGCCCAAACCGGUAUCUAAAAGGUAUCGGGGUUGUAGGACAUUACAAAAGAGAGCGGAGCUGAUAGCAGAACCUAUCUGGAAAGAUAGACCAAAGAGGGUGACAGUCCCGUACGCGAAAUUGGCAAAGCUUUCGUAAUGCACCUGAGUACGGCGGGGCACGCUAACCCUGUCGGAAUCCGGGAAGCCCACUUCCCAAGGCUAAAUACAUUUGACGACCGAUAGUGAACAAGUACUGUGAAGGAAAGGUGAAAAGACCCCCGGUAAGGGGAGUGAAAAAGAACCUGAAACCGUGUGCCUACAAACGGUCGGAGGGCUAUGGGCAUUCUAACGAAUGCAAAGGCCUGACGGCGUGCCUUUUGGAGAAUGAGCCAGCGAGUUAAUCUCAGUGGCAAGGUUAAGCCAGAAACAGGCGGAGCCGGAGCGAAAGCGAGUCUGAAUAGGGCGCGGGCAACCUACGGGUUGCGACAGUCGCUGGGAUUAGACACGAAACCAGGUGAGCUACCCAUGUGCAGGCUGAAGCGAGACUAACCUCUCGUGGAGGGCCGAACCCACUAAUGUUGCAAAAUUAGGGGAUGACGUGUGGGUAGGGGUGAUAUGCCAAACGAACCUGGAAAUAGCUUGUUCUCUCCGAAAUAGCUUUAGGGCUAGCGUUGCACUGUGGCGGAAGCCAUGAGAAGAGUGCCGGGGGUAGAGCACUGGAUGAGCUAGGGGGCGCGAGCUUACCGACCUCAACCAAACUCCGAAUACCGGUACUACAGGUGCGGCAGUCGGACUAUGAGAGAUGAGUUUCAUAGUCGAGAGGGAAACAGCCCAGACCGACAGCUAAGGUCCUUAAAUCAAUACUAAGUGGGAAACGAUGUGAGAGUGUCGAGACAGCCAGGAGGUUGGCUUAGAAGCAGCCACCCUUUAAAGAGUGCGUAAUAGCUCACUGGUCAAACGCUGUUGCGCGGAAAAUGUAACGGGGCUUAAGUAUUGUACCGAAGCUACGGACUCGAGAGAGUGGUAGGAGAGCGUUCUGUAGGAGACACAAGUAUGAGCGAAAGCACAUAUGCGGCCUACAGAAGUGAGAAUGCUGGCAUGAGUAGCGUAAAACAUGUGAGAAACAUGUUCCCCGAAAACCUAAGGUUUCCGACGGAAGGUUAAUCCGCGUCGGGUUAGUCGGGCCUUAGCCGAGGCCGAAAGGCGUAGGCGAUGGACAUCCGGUUAAUAUUCCGGAACCACGUGGUUGGAGCGAAGGGGGGACGCGGCAUGGUAGGUCAGCCCCUUAACGGAUUGGGGUGCCAAACAGGUAGGGCGAAGAUGGAGGUAGGCAAAUCCGCCUCCGGAGCCUGAGAUGUGAGCGCGGGCCAACGAGCCAGAAGUGAUUGAACCAAGCCGCCAAGAAAAGCCUCUAAGUGAAGAAGACCAGGUGACCGUACCGCAAACCGACACUGGUAGGUGGGUAGAGAAUACCAAGGGGAUCGAGAGAACCUUCGUUAAGGAAUUAGGCAAAAUACCCCCGUAACUUCGGGAGAAGGGGGGCCAUUGUUGGUGAGACAAUAGUUGAGCUGAUGGUGGCCGCAGAGAAAUGGCUCUUCCAACUGUUUAACAAAAACACAGGUCUCUGCUAAGUCGAAAGACGAUGUAUAGGGGCUGACGCCUGCCCAGUGCUGGAAGGUUAAGGGGAGAGGUUAGGGGAAACCCAAAGCUUUGAACCGAAGCCCCAGUGAACGGCGGCCGUAACUAUAACGGUCCUAAGGUAGCGAAAUUCCUUGUCGGGUAAGUUCCGACCCGCACGAAUGGCGUAAUGAGAGGAGCACUGUCUCAACGAAGGACUCGGCGAAGAUUGAAGUACGUGUAAAGAUGCGCGUUACCCGCAGCAGGACAAAAAGACCCCGUGAAGCUUUACUACAGCUUGACAUUGAGUUAGGGCUUAACUUGUGUAGGAUAGGUGGGAGGCAAAGAAGCUAGGGCGCCAGCCUUGGUGGAGCCACCGUUGAAAUACCACCCUGGUUAAGUUUUGACUCUAACCUGUGACCGUUAACCGGCAUGGGAACAGUGUCUGGUGGGUAGUUUGACUGGGGCGGUCGCCUCCGAAAGAGUAACAGAGGCGCCCAAAGGUUCCCUCAGGCUGAAUGGAAACCAGCCGAAGAGUGUAAAGGCAUAAGGGAGCUUGACUGCGAGACAUACGAGUCGAGCAGGGACGAAAGUCGGGCUUAGUGAUCCCACGGUUCCGAGUGGAAGGGCCGUGGCUUACCGGAUAAAAGCUACUCCGGGGAUAACAGGCUAGUCUUGUCCAAGAGUUCACAUCGACGACAAGGCUCGGCACCUCGAUGUCGGCUCAUCGCAUCCUGGGGCUGGAUAAGGUCCCAAGGGUUGGGCUGUUCGCCCAUUAAAGCGGUACGUGAGCUGGGUUCAGACCGUCGUGAGACAGGUCGGUCUCUAUCCGCUGUGGGCGCAAGGGAUUUGAGAGAAGCUGCCCCUAGUACGAGAGGACCGGGGUGGACAGACCGCUAGUGUACCAGUUGUCGUGCCAACGGCAUGGCUGGGUAGCUACGUCUGGCAGAGAUAACCGCUGAAAGCAUCUAAGUGGGAAACUCGUCUCAAGAUAAGAUCCCUCACUAGAAAUAGGUAAGACCGCUAGGAGACGACUAGCUAGAUAGGCGGCGUGUGGAAGUGCAGCAAUGUAUGGAGCUAAGCCGUACUAAUGGUCGAGGGCUUACGUGG
rnacentral:rRNA from 1 species